GACCGCGUAGCUCAGUUGGAAGAGCAUUGGGCUAGUAUUCCGGGGGUCGUAGGUUCGAAUCCCGCCGUGGCCG